rnacentral:rRNA from 1 species
GGCCUUUUGAAGAUAAUUUAAGGUUUAACCUGCCCAGUGAGGAUUUUAACGGCCGCAGUAUUUUGACUGUGCUAAGGUAGCAUAAUCAUUAGUUUUUUAAUUAAAAGCUUGUAUGAAUGGUUGAAUGAAAAAAAAUCUGUCUCUAAAUUAUUUAUAUUGAAUUUUAUUUUUAAGUAAGAAAGCUUAAAUUUAAUUAAAAGACGAGAAGACCCUAUAGAGUUUAAUAUAAUUUUAAUUUUUAAAAUUUAGAAUUUAUCUAUUAAAAUUUAAAUAUUAUAUUUAAUUGGGGUGAUUAAAAAAUUUAAUAAACUUUUUUAAAUAAGACCAUAAAUUUAUGAAUAUUUGAUCCAUUAAUUAUGAUUAAAAGAAAAAAUUACCUUAGGGAUAACAGCGUAAUUUUUUUUAAGAGUUCUAAUCAAAAGAAAAGAUUGCGACCUCGAUGUUGGAUUAAAAUUAAUUUUUGGUGUAGAAGCUAAGAAUUUUGGGUCUGUUCGACCUUUGAAAUUUUACAUGA